GACUCCUACGGGAGGCAGCAGUGGGGAAUUUUGCCCAAUGGGGGAAACCAUGAAGGAGCAACGCCGCGUGAGCAAUAAUCCUUGGGAAGUAAAAUUCUUUAUACGGACGAAAUGACGUACCGCAGAGCG
rnacentral:rRNA from 1 species